GACGAACGCUGGCGGCGUGCUUAACACAUGCAAGUCGAACGGUGAAGGGGUCUGCUUUUGUGGGCCCUGGAUGAGUGGCGAACGGGUGAGUAACACGUGAGUAACCUGCCCCCUUCUUCUGGAUAACCGCAUGAAAGUGUGGCUAAUACGGGAUAUUCUGGGUCUGUCGCAUGAUGGGUCUGGUAAAGCUUGCGCCUUUGGGUGUUUUUGGUGGGGGAUGGGCUCGCGGCCUAUCAGCUUGUUGGUGGGGUGAUGGCCUACCAAGGCGGUGACGGGUAGCCGGCCUGAGAGGGUGGACGGUCACACUGGGACUGAGACACGGACCAGACUCCUACGGGAGGCAGCAGUGGGGAAUAUUGCACAAUGGGCGCAAGCCUGAUGCAGCGACGCCGCGUGAGGGAUGGAGGCCUUCGGGUUGUAAACCUCUUUCGCCAGUGAAGCAGGCCUGCUCCUUGUGGGUGGGUUGACGGUAGCUGGAGAAGAAGCGCCGGCUAACUACGUG
rnacentral:rRNA from 1 species